CGCAGCGCCUCUCCCGGAACUCACAGCCACCUCUGCGGAGCGAGAGAUUAGCACUGGCUUCAGAAAGCGCUGUUUUCACCUGUGGAACCCGAGCGACCAGAACAAUUCGCUUUCCUUCUUAACUACUACCGGCGAGUCCUCCCUGCGACCUGCGCUGGGGAAACGCGCCGCGGCCUGGACCCUCCGCGGGACUGGAGGCGAAGUCCGCGUCCAGCCCCGGGCCCCAGCUCCCCCGAGCCGCGGCCUGGGGAUUUCUUCUGGCUGGGUUUGGGCCACCGCGGGAGCGAGGGGACGGGGACAGUUCGGAGAGCUAACCUCGACCCUUUUCCGUUACACCUGUGGGGAGGAGGUCACGCGGCUUCUCCAGGCUACCGAAGUUAAAAACGCAGCUUUCUUCCUGGCCUUAAGCACAGAGUGUGGAAGAUGGGCCUCGCUGAGAAGGUUCAAACAGCAUCUUGGCCCGCUGCUCAUUAGGCAAGAAAGGCUGAAAUGGCCCCGGUGGAUUUUAAAUGCUUGAGUUGCAAGGGUAAUGCAUACUAGAUGUUCUGUAGUUAAAACUGGGGAACGCCUGCCUUCAGCAGAGGAAACAGAUCCGAUUCCCUCUGAGCCAGCGGUGUACAAGAACAGCAAGAAAAGUCUCCCCAAGCCUUUCAGAUAUAAAGCUUUCUUCAGAAGCUUCACAGCAAGAUUCAUUUCGCAUUGCAAGGUAAGCAGGGCUGCUAUGCUGCAGCAACCUCUGCCUAUUUUGGUAUUUAUUAAAAGAAAUUAUGACCAAUUCACUAAGUAGACAAUUAGAUAAACAAGUUCUAACCUAGCAACCUGAUCUUUCCUGGUCAUUUGUAAAUCGACAGCACCUCCUACAGGAAUUUGCUAGUGUUGUGUUAAAUGUUAAAUUAGGGGAAAAGGGCUGACUUGGGUGUGGGUAUCUCCAAAAUAUCUCCUACCUGUUUCAGUGUAGUUCCAGGCCCAUGGACAAAUACAUGUCUAGGCAUACCUAGAUUUCUUUAAAAGAAUUUCCUUAUUAAAGGUAAGAAUGACAAAUUUUACCAGACUGAUUUUCUUAAAAAAAAAAAAAAAAAAAGCCCUGUUGACUUUGAGUUCUUACAUCAUCCAUCAGACAUGAAUUCUUUGGCUUUCUGUACUUAGAAUUUCUACAUAUACUAUACUUUCUUAUUACCAGUCAUCUUUUUAUUGAUUCUACAUUUCAAAAGCCCCAAGUAGAAUUAGAUGCUUAAUGUUUUUAUUUGAAAAACUCAUUUUCAGGCCGGGGAUUUAGCUUAGUGGUUUCGCUGCCUGCUGCACAAGCGCAAGGACCACAGUUCGAUCCCCAGUACCAAAAAAAAAAAAAAAAGACAAAAUGAAAAACUCAUUUUCUUUUUCCGUAUCAGUAGUGUAUACAAAACAUGUAAGGAGAGAACCUUUAAAGCUGUUCGUUGUGACUGACUGUGAAAAUGCCUCCCUUCUAUUUCCAAGUUUAGGACAUUAGAAUGCUGCCACAUUGGGGUUGUCUAGCACCUUAGGUGACCAAGGCUGGAAGCCAAACUGCAAACCAGCAUCUUCCAUAACACAUGAGAAUUUUACUCAGAAGUGGAUGGGUAAGAAUACUGGGGCUAAGGCAUUUCAGGGUUUUGCAAUCUUAAUAAUGAAGGAUUAAAUCAGAGGUUUAAAAAAUUGAAUGAUUACUUAUAAAGCUAAAAAGUGGACCACAUUUUUCUGAAAGUCAAAGUGUGAAAAGGUGUGUCUUUAAUCCAUUCUUAAUUAUAAGAUGCAUUUCAACAUUUCUCUUCAUGAAUACUAUAUUGGUUCAGAAAUCCUUUUUAAGGCAGUGAGUAUUGCAUAGGUUUUGACAUUAUAAAUAUUAUAAAGUCUAAAAAGGCAUAAAGUAGAAAAUAAUUACUGCAACACUGAUGAACUCAAGGUGUAAAUUAGUAUCUUUAUCAAUUUCAAAUGCAUGCUUUUUUAAGUGAAGCAGCAAUGGAAUCUUUGAGGUGCACUGUAAGUUAUUAAAGAAUAUGGAGGAGGGAUGCAAGCGCUUCUCCCCCUCCAGUUCCCUUAAUCUAAAUAGAAGGGUUAUUAUCUUUAGUUUUACACCUUCACUUUAUACCUUCUUAAAAAUUAGAGGGGCUUUGUGUUCAUACAAAGCAGGACAAAGAUAUUUCAUUAACUUCUCUUUCAAACUUACUUUCUUAAAAAGAACUUUUGAGAUAUUAUGACUGUUGACUAUCUAAACCAUCCAUUUUAUAUUUAACAGAUGUUUUCUUAAAAAGCAGAACCUAAUAACAAAAAUAGUGUCCAUGAUGUGAAAUGUUUUUUGGAAUUGCAUAUUAUAGUCUGUACUAAUUUUUUCUUUACUUUUUCCUUUACUAUAUGUGUAAACACAUGGGAAAAUACUUCUAUAUUCUCAUGAAAUAGAUCAAAAUAGUUCGUAUUCUCAUUUUUGACAGAAUAUAACUGCUUAACAUUAAAGUAAAAUCUUAGAAUAGUUGUGUGUCCAUAGUAGCAAGGGCAUGGAUGAUAGGUAGAGUGGUCCCCCUCCAAUGAACAUGUCCUGACCCCUGGAACUGGUGAAAUGGAUGUAAAUAGACAUAAUUUCCAUUUACAUGGUAAAGGAGAAUUAAGGUUGCUAAUCAGCUGGUCUUAAUGUAGGGAGAUUAUCCUAGAUUCUUAAGUGGACCCAAUAUAAUCACAAGGGUUCUUUUCAAUUAGCAAUAAUCGUGCCUUGGAUAAACCUUAUUGGCUACAAUACUGCCACUGCACAAAGCUCACAAGGGUUCCUCUAAUGCAGAAUAUCAAAGGGUCUGAUUAGAUGUGAGGACCUGACUGCCCUUUAUUUUUGAAAAUGGAGGCAGAGGAGCCAAGAACGCCAAUAGCAUCCAGAAGCUGAAACAGACAAGCAAACAGGUUUUUCCUUCUGGUGAAACCUUAAUUUGAGCCUAGUGAGACCUAUGUGAGAAUUCUGAUCUCCAGAACUGUUAUGAUAAUAAAUAAUUUAUACUGUUUGAGGCAUUUGUAUGGCAGCACAGAAAACAAAACAUCCAAAUGUAAACAGCUUGCACUGCAGAACAACACACCUAAAGGGAGUUUAAGAGUCAAAAGAAUACUGAUAAAAGUCCAGUUUAAUUCACAUUAAUGAAUUUCAACCAUUACACUUUGCUUCAAGCAAAUUUAAAAUUUAAAACUAACAAAUUUGAAUUGACAAAGGAAAAAUUAAAUUAUAACCAAUGUACUGUCACCCUUUGAACAAAAAAAAAAAAUG